rnacentral:misc_RNA from 1 species
UCCGAGUUGACCCCGGCAGUCUCCCAUGAGUCCCCACCAUUACGUGCUGGCAACAUGGAACGAGGGUUGCGCUCGUUGCGGGACUUAACCCAACAUCUCACGACACGAGCUGACGACAACCAUGCACCACCUGUACACCAGCCCAAAGGCUGCACCAUCUCUGGCACAUUCCGGUGUAUGUCAAGCCUUGGUAAGGUUCUUCGCGUUGCAUCGAAUUAAUCCGCAUGCUCCGCCGCUUGUGCGGGCCCCCGUCAAUUCCUUUGAGUUUUAGCCUUGCGGCCGUACUCCCCAGGCGGGGCGCUUAAUGCGUUAGCUGCGGCACAGAACUCGUGGAAUGAGCCCCACACCUAGCGCCCAACGUUUACGGCAUGGACUAC